rnacentral:lncRNA from 1 species
CCGCAGAGCCCCGCGGAGGCGGCCCCGCCCAUGGCGCAGCGCGCGGUGCCCCCUGGCGCCACUCGGGUGCGGUGUGGGAUAGCUGGGGAGGCAGCGGGCGGUUGGGCAAGAGGAGAAGCCACUCCACGUGCAGCUGCUCUUUGCAGUUUGGCAGAACCAGGGAAAGAAGCUUGUCAAACAAAAACCACAAUGCUUUCGCUCAAUUAGCAAAUUGUAUCAAGGUGCUCAGGAUAAUGGUGAGCACCAAGGUUAUAGACAUCCUGAAUCUUUUUAAAACAUGUUGUUAAAUUGAGAUAAAAGCAAAAGAGCAGUCCUAGGUACUGGUAGAUAAUGCUACUUAUUUCCCCAAUGAGUGGGACAGGUUGGGGUUGGGAGUGGGGGAACCUUAGAUUUGCUCUUGGCGAAAGGACACAGUACUGUUGGAAUGAAG